rnacentral:rRNA from 1 species
AGUGAACGCUGGCGGUAGGCCUAACACAUGCAAGUCGAACGGCAGCACAGUAAGAGCUUGCUCUUACGGGUGGCGAGUGGCGGACGGGUGAGGAAUACAUCGGAAUCUACUUUUUCGUGGGGGAUAACGUAGGGAAACUUACGCUAAUACCGCAUACGACCUACGGUUGAAAGCAGGGGAUCUUCGGACCUUUCGCGAUUGAAUGAGCCGCUGUCGGAUUAGCUAGUUGGCGGGUUAAAGGCCCACCAAGGCGACGAUCCGUAGCUGGUCUGAGAGGAUGAUCAGCCACACUGGAACUGAGACACGGUCCAGACUCCUACGGGAGGCAGCAGUGGGGAAUAUUGGACAAUGGGCGCAAGCCUGAUACAGCCAUACCGAGUGGGUGAAGAAGGCCUUCGGGUUGUAAAGCCCUUUUGUUGGGAAAGAAAAGCAGCAGGUUAAUACCCCGCUGUUCUGACGGUACCCAAAGAAUAAGCACCGGCUAACUUCGUG